UGAAACUUAGAAGUUCUUGAUGUUCUGCUGUAAUCAGCAAUGUUUGAACACGAUGUUCAAACAAGCCGUCACUGAGCCAUGGAUGGCGAAUUGACGGCGGUUGCGUACGGUAAGAAUAUGUAGAUCAGAACAUCUAGAACUUCUUGGUUUC
rnacentral:ncRNA from 1 species